AUUGAACGCUGGCUGCAGGCUUAACACAUGCAAGUCGAACGACUGGCGGACGGGUGAGUAAUGCUUGAGAAUCUAGCUUAUGUAGGGGGAUAAAUACGGUAAACUGUAGCUAAUACCGCCUACCAUAUGAUGUGCCCAAGUAUGAUUAGGUAGUUGGUGAGGUAAAGGCUCACCCAGCCGACGGCCUCUACAUGGUCUGAGAGGAUGACCCGCCACACUGGGACUGAGACACGGCCCAGACUCCUACGGGAGGCAGCAGGAGGGAAUAUUGCGCAAUUGGGGCAACCUGACGCAGCAAUGCCGCGUGAAUGAAGAAGGCCUUCGGGUUGUAAAGUUCUUUAGGUAGCGAAGCGUUAACUACCGAAGAAGCAAAGGCUAACUCCGUGCCAGCCGCCGCGGUAAUUC
rnacentral:rRNA from 1 species